rnacentral:rRNA from 1 species
GUAGGUGGCAAGCGUUGUCCGGAAUUAUUGGGCGUAAAGCGCGCGCAGGCGGUUCUUUAAGUCUGAUGUGAAAGCCCACGGCUCAACCGUGGAGGGUCAUUGGAAACUGGAGAACUUGAGUACAGAAGAGGAAAGCGGAAUUCCACGUGUAGCGGUGAACUGCGUAGAGAUGUGGAGGAACACCAGUGGCGAAGGCGGCUUUCUGGUCUGUAACUGACGCUGAGGCGCGAAAGCGUGGGGAGCAAACAGGAUUAGAUACCCUGGUAGUCCACGCCGUAAACGAUGAGUGCUAAGUGUUAGGGGGGUUUCCGCCCCCCUUAGUGCUGCAGCUAACGCAUUAAGCACUCCGCCUGGGAGUACGGCCGCAAGGCUG